UACGUAGGGGGCAAGCGUUGUCCGGAUUUAUUGGGCGUAAAGAGCGUGUAGGCGGCUGGGUAGGUCCGUUGUGAAAACUCGAGGCUCAACCUCGAGACGCCGAUGGAAACCCUCCAGCUAGAGUCCGGAAGAGGAGAGUGGAAUUCCUGGUGUAGCGGUGAAAUGCGCAGAUAUCGGGAGGAACACCAGUGGCGAAGGCGGCUUUCUGGUCUGCUCUUGACGCUGAGGCGCGAAAGCUAGGGGAGCAAACGGG
rnacentral:rRNA from 1 species